rnacentral:rRNA from 1 species
GAUAAACGCUGGCGGCGUGCCUAACACAUGCAAGUCGAACGUCCUCUUUUGCCUUCGCGAGAAGGGGAGAGAGGGAGUGGCGGACGGGUGAGUAACACGUGGGUACCUACCCUGGGGUGAGGAAUACCGGCGAGAAAUCGCCGACAAGACCGCAUAGGCUCUUUCUUGCACACGUAAAAGAGAGCAAAGCCGAAAGGUGCCCUGGGAUGGGCCUGCGGCCGAUUAGCUAGUUGGCGAGGUAAGAGCUCCCCAACGGCGACGAUCGGUAGCUGGUCUGAGAGGACGAAC